rnacentral:rRNA from 1 species
AGCGGCGGACGGGUGAGUAAUGCUUAGGAAUCUGCCAUUUAGUGGGGGACAACAUUCCGAAAGGAAUGCUAAUACCGCAUACGUCCUACGGGAGAAAGCAGGGGAUCUUCGGACCUUGCGCUAAAUGAUGAGCCUAAGUCGGAUUAGCUAGUUGGUGGGGUAAAGGCCUACCAAGGCGACGAUCUGUAGCGGGUCUGAGAGGAUGAUCCGCCACACUGGGACUGAGACACGGCCCAGACUCCUACGGGAGGCAGCAGUGGGGAAUAUUGGACAAUGGGCGGAGGCCUGAUCCAGCCAUGCCGCGUGUGUGAAGAAGGCCUUUUGGUUGUAAAGCACUUUAAGCGAGGAGGAGGCUACCUAGAUUAAUACUCUGGGAUAGUGGACGUUACUCGCAGAAUAAGCACCGGCUAACUCUGUGCCAGCAGCCGCGGUAAUACAGAGGGUGCGAGCGUUAAUCGGAUUUACUGGGCGUAAAGCGUGCGUAGGCGGCUUUUUAAGUCGGAUGUGAAAUCCCCGAGCUUAACUUGGGAAUUGCAUUCGAUACUGGGAAGCUAGAGUAUGGGAGAGGAUGGUAGAAUUCCAGGUGUAGCGGUGAAAUGCGUAGAGAUCUGGAGGAAUACCGAUGGCGAAGGCAGCCAUCUGGCCUAAUACUGACGCUGAGGUACGAAAGCAUGGGGAGCAAACAGGAUUAGAUACCCUGGUAGUCCAUGCCGUAAACGAUGUCUACUAGC